UACGUAAGGUGCAAGCGUUGUCCGGAAUUAUUGGGCGUAAAGAGCUCGUAGGCGGUUUGUUGCGUCGGCUGUGAAAUCCCGAGGCUCAACCUCGGGUCUGCAGUCGAUACGAGCAAACUAGAGUGUUGCAGGGGAGACUGGAAUUCCUGGUGUAGCGGUGAAAUGCGCAGAUAUCAGGAGGAACACCGGUGGCGAAGGCGGGUCUCUGGGCCGUAACUGACGCUGAGGAGCGAAAGCAUGGGGAGCGAACAGG
rnacentral:rRNA from 1 species